AAUCUACAUUAAGAGUGGAGAUACAAAGACUGAUCUCAGUUCAGUUCAUCAGAAGAGAUCAGGAGCAGAGUCCAGCUGUGUGUCUGUGAGGAGUGAUUGGUCUAUGGAUCAUCCAGUAAAGUUUAAGAGUGGAGAUACAAAGACUGAUCUCAGUUCAGUUCAUCAGAAGAGAUCAGGAGCAGAGUCCAGCUGUGUGUCUGUGAGGAGUGACACAUCUAUGAAUCAGUCCAUUAGAUUUUAAGAUUGAAGAUACAAAGACUGAUCUCAGGUAU